AUUGAACGCUGGCGGCAGGCCUAACACAUGCAAGUCGAGCGGAUGAAGGGAGCUUGCUCCUGGAUUCAGCGGCGGACGGGUGAGUAAUGCCUAGGAAUCUGCCUGGUAGUGGGGGAUAACGUCCGGAAACGGGCGCUAAUACCGCAUACGUCCUGAGGCAGAAAGUGGGGGAUCUUCGGACCUCACGCUAUCAGAUGAGCCUAAGUCAGAUUAGCUAGUUGGUGGGGUAAAGGCCUACCAAGGCGACGAUCCGUAACUGGUCUGAGAGGAUGAUCAGUCACACUGGAACUGAGACACGGUCCAGACUCCUACGGGAGGCAGCAGUGGGGAAUAUUGGACAAUGGGCGAAAGCCUGAUCCAGCCAUGCCGCGUGUGUGAAGAAGGUCUUCGGAUUGUAAAGCACUUUAAGUUGGGAGGAAGGGCAGUAAGUUAAUACCUUGCUGUUUUGACGUUACCAACAGAAUAAGCACCGGCUAACUUCGUG
rnacentral:rRNA from 1 species